UGGGGAAUAUUGCACAAUGGAGGGAACUCUGAUGCAGCGACGCCGCGUGAGUGAUGAAGGAAUUCGUUUCGUAAAACUCUGUUCUAUGGGAAGAAAAGGACUGUACCAUAGGAGAAAGCUCCGGCUAAAUACGUGCCAGCAGCCGCGGUAAUACGUAUGGAGCGAGCGUUGUCCGGAAUUAUUGGGCGUAAAGGGUGCGCAGGCGGCUUUACAAGUUGGAUGUGAAAUAUUGUGGCUCAACCACAAACGUGCAUCCAAAACUGCAAAGCUUGAGUUAAGGAGAGGUAAGUGGAAUUCCUGGUGUAGCGGUGGGAUGCGUAGAUCUCAGGAGGAAUACCGGUGGCGAAGGCGACUUACUGGACUUAAACUGACGCUCAGGCACGAAAGCGUGGGGAGCAAACAGG
rnacentral:rRNA from 1 species